rnacentral:rRNA from 1 species
ACGGAGGGUGCGAGCGUUAAUCGGAAUCACUGGGCGUAAAGCGCACGUAGGCGGUGUCGUAAGUCGGAUGUGAAAGCCCUCGGCUCAACCGGGGAACUGCAUUCGAUACUGCGACGCUUGAGUGCCGGAGAGGGGGGCGGAAUUCCAGGUGUAGCAGUGAAAUCCGUAGAUAUCUGGCGGAACACCAGUCGUGAAGGCGGCCCACUGGAUGACAACUGACGCUCAGGUGCGAAAGCGUGGGGAUCAAACAG